rnacentral:tRNA from 1 species
GGGGGUAUAGCUUAGUGGUACAGCACAUGCUUAGCAUGCAAGAGGCCCUGGGUUCAAUCCCCAGUACUUCCA